GACGAACGCUGGCGGCGUGCUUAACACAUGCAAGUCGAACGGAAAGGCCCUGCUUUUGUGGGGUGCUCGAGUGGCGAACGGGUGAGUAACACGUGAGUAACCUGCCCUUGACUUUGGGAUAACUUCAGGAAACUGGGGCUAAUACCGGAUAGGAGCUCCUGCUGCAUGGUGGGGGUUGGAAAGUUUCGGCGGUUGGGGAUGGACUCGCGGCUUAUCAGCUUGUUGGUGGGGUAGUGGCUUACCAAGGCAUUGACGGGUAGCCGGCCUGAGAGGGUGACCGGCCACAAUGGGACUGAGAUACGGACCAGACUCCUACGGGAGGCAGCAGUGGGGAAUAUUGUACAAUGGGCGGAAGCCUGAUGCAGCAACGCCGCGUGCGGGAUGACGGCCUUCGGGUUGUAAACCGCUUCCGCCUGUGACGAAGCGUGAGUGACGGUAAUGGGUAAAGAAGCACCGGCUAACUACGUG
rnacentral:rRNA from 1 species